UCGGGGCUUAAAACCUAGAUGACGGGUUGA
rnacentral:piRNA from 1 species